CCUACGGGAGGCAGCAGUGAGGAAUAUUGGUCAAUGGCCGGAAGGCUGAACCAGCCAAGCCGCGUGAAGGACGACGGUGCCAAGCGUUGUAAACUUCUUUUGUCAAAGGACAAAAUCAGGCUCGAGAGUCUGACCGAGAGUACUUGAAGAAAAAGCAUCGGCUAACUCCGUGCCAGCAGCCGCGGUAAUACGGAGGAUUCAAGCGUUAUCCGGAUUUAUUGGGUUUAAAGGGUGCGUAGGCGGCCUGUUAAGUCAGCGGUAAAAGCCCGGGGCUAAACCCCGGCGAGUCGUUGAAACUGGUUGUCUUGAGAGGUGGAGAGGUAUGCGGAAU
rnacentral:rRNA from 1 species